rnacentral:rRNA from 1 species
AUUGAACGCUGGCGGCAGGCUUAACACAUGCAAGUCGAACGAUGAAGAUAUAGCUUGCUAUAUUGGAUUAGUGGCGGACGGGUGAGUAACGCUUAGGAAUCUACCUUUUAGCGGGGGAUAGCUCGGGGAAACUCGAAUUAAUACCGCAUAAUUUCUACGGAAUAAAGAGGGCUUUUAGCUCUCACUAGAAGAUGAGCCUAAGUAAGAUUAGCUAGUUGGUGGGGUAAAAGCCUACCAAGGCGACGAUCUUUAGCUGGUCUGAGAGGAUGAUCAGCCACACUGGGACUGAGACACGGCCCAGACUCCUACGGGAGGCAGCAGUGGGGAAUAUUGGACAAUGGGGGCAACCCUGAUCCAGCCAUGCCGCGUGUGUGAAGAAGGCCUUUUGGUUGUAAAGCACUUUAAGCAGUGAAGAAGACCUAUUGGUUAAUACCCAAUAGCGAUGACAUUAACUGCAGAGUAAGCACCGGCUAACUCUGUGCCAGCAGCCGCGGUAAUACAGAGGGUGCAAGCGUUAAUCGGAAUUACUGGGCGUAAAGCGAGCGUAGGUGGUUAAAUAAGUCAGAUGUGAAAGCCCUGGGCUCAACCUAGGAACGGCAUCUGAAACUAUUUAACUAGAGUAGGUGAGAGGGAAGUAGAAUUUCAGGUGUAGCGGUGAAAUGCGUAGAGAUCUGAAGGAAUACCGAUGGCGAAGGCAGCUUCCUGGCAUCAUACUGACACUGAGCUCGAAAGCGUGGGUAGCAAACAGG